GUAAUACCUUUCAAGUUGGUCAAAUUUUAACUUUUAUGUUUAUUUUUACUUUUAUUUGUCUGUAUAAAUCCACCUUUUGUUAAUUUAUUUGCUAUUAUAUGGAAGUGCAUUUAAGACAAUAAAAAAAUGAAGGGGCAUGACAGGGCAAAUACGUGUGUGCAGUGCAGCAAAAAAUACAGUAACAUUAGCAAUCUAAGAAAGCAUGUCAUCAAGUUUCAUCAUCAGUAAUGAUGAUUAUCUAGCUUACCUGCAAAUACGACAAAAUAAACAUUAUAAUUUUGCUUGUGACCAGUGUAAAAAACGUUUUACGCAUUUCAGAUUUCAGAAUUUAAAAUUCCGCAUCAGAACACAUAGAAGCUCAAAUAACACUUUAGCUCCAGAUAUUACACACCCCAAUACCUCGACCACUACCAAUGCAAAUCAGUGUGCUUUGUGCAGUGACUUUUAUGCUGAUAGGAAGACCGUUAUAGAACAUUAUAGAGACUUUCAUAACAUUCCUAUUGAACAUAAAAAAUUGACGUUUUAAAGUGAGGAAGAAUUUAUUACUUGGAAGCUUACCUUUGAAAAUGACACAAACUGUAAAUACGUGGUUAACUAUCAGAAAUGUUUUGAAUCACAUGUAGCUGCAAGUUUUAUAUGCCAUCGUUUAGGAAGAUAUGUUCCAGAAGGCAGAAAUAUUCGGCACUUAAAGAUACUAGGAAGUAAGAAAAAAAAUGCACUCUGCCCAGCAAGCAUAAAAAUAAAAAAGCUUAAUAAUAGCACUUGAAAAGUGACCAUUAUGGACAAACAUGUGGGACAUCAGAAUGACAUCGGCCACUUGAAUUUGUCUAAAAUAGAAAGAAAUAAUUUAGCAUUAAAAAUUUCUUCUAAAGUCCCAUUUGAAGAUAUUUUAGACGAAAUUAGAGAUUCAAUCACUGACUCAGAACUAAAACAUCUGCAUCUGCUCACAAAGAAAGAUCUAUAUAGCAUAGAAGCCUGUUUCAAUUUGUGCUCCUCAUCAGUUAGAUAUAAAAACGACAUCAUAAGUGUAAAGUCCUGGAUCAAUGAUAUGCAAAGUAAUGGAGAUGCAGUUCUGUUUUAUAAGCCCUAAGGUUCUGAAAGUGAAGAAUGGCCAAUGCUAAAAAUUGAGGAUUUUGUUUUGAUUAUCAUGACUGCUGCACAAUGUGAAAUGCUUAAAAUUUAUGAGACCGAUUUCAUCUGUAUAGAUGGAACUCAUGGGAUGAAUAACUAUGACUUCGAACUUAUAACUCUCCUUGUUGCUGAUGAUAUUCGUCAGGGAUUUCCUUGCAGUUUUCUUAUGUCAAAUAGGUCUGAUAAAUAAGUUUUAAAAAUAUUUUUUCACAUUGUAAAAUCUCGCCUUGGUACUGCACUUUGCCCAAAUGUCUUUAUGUCAGAUAUGGCAGAAGCUUUCUUCAAUGCAUGGAUUGAAAUAAUGUCUCCACCAAAAUUCAGAUUAUAAUGUUCAUGGCACGUUGACCAGGUGUGGCGUAAGAAUUUAUCAAAAAUCAAACACCAAAGAAAAGCAAGUUUUUAUUUAUAAGAAUUUAAGAGCUGUCUUAGAAGAAAGGGAUGUCACAACUUUUAAUAUUUUAAUUAACAAGUUAUAUACUAUGUUACUUGAAGACCCUGAUACAAUGGAAUUUGCCAACUAUUUUAAUAAGUAUUACAUGUGCUGUGUAGAAUGUUGGGCACACUUCCACCGACUUGGUGCGGGUUUAAAUACAAACAUGCACUUAGAACGUAUGCACAAAACACGAAAAUAUACUUAUUUAAAAGGGAAGAAAGUCAAGCGAUUGGACAAGGCAAUCAACGCAAUAAUGCAAUUUGUAAGAGACAAAUGCAUUGACAGGUUAAUAGUUCUUAACAAGGGGAAGCUGUCCAGUAAGCUGCAAAUAAUUCGGUCCAGGCACAAACAAUGUUUAAAAUUGAGGGAAGAUUUAGUAUACGAGUGUAAAAAUGGAUGGAACAUUGCCUCAGAAACAACAGCAGAAUUAUAUGUUAUCCAGAAGGUUCAACGAGAUUGUAAAUGCCAACUACUGUGCAAUGAAUGUAAAACUUGCAUCCAUCAGUUUUGCUGUUCUUGUCUUGACUCGUCAGUUAAAUACAACAUGUGCAAACAUAUUCAUCUUCUGAUCAGAUAUAUUUCUCAAUAUGUAACUGACUCACUGGAGCAUCCUCAAGAACUUGCGACGCCGAUGGACUUUUUACGAUGAUCGAAACAGGAUUUGCUGGUAGAAACAGUGAUGGCGGCAUAUUUAGAGCUGGUCGAAUGAAACAAUGGAUACAAACGAAUGGAAACAUUCCUCCAGCUUCACGCUUACCUCACGAUCCACAGGAAAAUUAUUUUCCUUUUUACCGCGUUGCAGACGAAGCAUUUCCGCUUUUAAAAAAUGUAAUGAGACCCACAACGUUCCUUAGACAACAAAAAACGCAUUUUUAAUUAUAGAUUAAGUCAUGGUAGGAAAACCGUUAAAUGUGCAUUCGGCAUGGCGCAACACCCACUCAAAGACAAGGCCGUAGUGCUUGGCGCGUGACGUCAUCGAUGUGGGCCACCGAUUUUUAAAAACCAAGGGAUUUCAUAUGCUAAUAUCUCAAUAUUUGGCUUAUUUUAAAAAAUGCUAGGAAUAGAAUAGAGUUCAGGAAACAUUCAAAGGUAUGUUUUAGUUCUGGUUGAAUGUCAGGUUAAAUAUUAUGGUGUAAUAUUAAAUGCAGACUCCCAACUCCCCUACAUCUGCGCCAAAAUUCAACAUACAUAUUUAGGUAUUUUUUUAUUUUUUUUAUACCAUUAAGUAGUAAAAAAUGUUAUUAUAUACACAUAAAUACAUAUAUUGACUUUAAAAGCUUAAAAAGCUUAGGUAUACUCCAGUUCAUGUAAUUUUUUAAUUGCAGAAAAAGAAGCACAUUUUUUCUUCGAGGUGUCAAAAUCAGAAAAAUAAAAUUUUUGGUCGGGUUUAGAGUUAAGCCAAUUAUUAAAUACACAUUUAAGUAAGUGAACUGUGUCAAAUAGGUAAAAUAAUGGUCUCUGAUUAUCUAUGGGAUGAGGAUAAACAAUGCUAAGUUGGACUGCAGUUGAAAAAUGACUAAUGGAAUUAUUAUCACACUAUUAAAAAACUAUGUACCCAAUCUCCUCUAAAUUUUCAAUAAUUGUCUUAAUAAAAUUAUAAAGUAUGUCUGAUGUAAUUUUGGAGAUGGGAGCUAUGUGAACUACUUCCUUAAAGCUGGAACACACACUUGUAAUCAUAAAAGUAAAUGAUGAGGAAGUUAGAGACUUAUUAUUGACUGAUAUUCCAGUGAUAUUACCGCCUUUAUAGUCCAUGUAAGGGUCAAUAUGAAUUUCAUCAAAAAGUAGUGCCACAAAUCUCCCAUGAUCCUUUAGUAAACUAAACACAUUUCGGGCAUAAGUUAAAAACAUUUUUUUUCAUCUAUGUGGGGAUCGGUCAUGUGUUUGUUACAAAUACCCAUUAUAGUUUGAGGAUGUGGUAAAAUUAGGGAUCCAUAAUCUCUUAAAUACUUGUAUGCAUGAGGACUAAUAGUAUAGAUUAUAGAAGUCAAAAUUAUUGUACUACUUAAAUAUCUGUACCUUUCCUUUGCAAUUGUAAGCAAAGCUAAUUGUUCACAAAUAAAAUCUAAAGAAUGCACUAUUUUGUUGUCUUCAAUGUUUUUAAAACUUUUUAGUAUGUUUGACACAAAAUCGAACACAUGUUUCAUUUUAUUUAUGUGUUUUAAUGGUUUGGCAUGAUCGAGAAUAGUAUUGCCAAGGGUAUUGGUAGCAGUCUCGGUAGCAGUAUUUGUAGGUGGCAGAUUUAAGUCACAGUCGGGGUUGUCAUUAUUGGUAACAUUUUCCUCCAAAGGCAGGGUAAUAAUAGUAAGGUCUAUUGCUUCAAGUAUUGCAUAUAAAUCAUCUAAACUAUGGGAAGUAUAUGGAGUUUUAAAUUUUGAUGUUGCACAAACUGGCUCGCUAUAUAAAAAAGUUUCAAAAGUUUCAGUCAUGGUUUUAGUAAUGUAAUUCUAUUGUAAAAAUUUUACCUGUGUUGGAAUCUUGAACUUAAUAUGUAUAAUAAAACGUAUAAUAAAGUACUUUUUAUUAUACUACCUUCAGAAAAAUGAGCUUCACAUACUUUGGUGUUUUUUGUGGGCUCAAAGUCUUUUACCCAUUUUCCCCUUAGAUUUAGGUAUAUCCUUAGGAAAACCGAAGACAUGCACUUUAGAUCCGUUUUUAUAGUUUCCGUUACAGCCCGGAACACAACACUUUUGAGGCAUAUUUACACUCUGGUAUAAACUACAAGCCGAACUAGGAGAAAAACAUGAAAUUAAACACGAACUUAAGUAUUAAAGUCUGAUAUAAACAAAUAAAACCGCGACCGAGAACCGGUUUUUCCGAGGAUCUUUCUAGUCCGAAAUUACGAUUUUGCGAUUUAAAAGUAUGCGAAGAGUUUACAUAAAUAUAACAUACACGUUUCGCGGAAAUAAACAGUUCCGAUUUUAGAAAAAAACACAAAAAUGGGCUAAUAUUUACUGCGGAUCUCGUCAGAAAUCCCGGCAACCACAGAACAUAAAUAUAAACAACCUAACCUCUCGUUUCAUCAGGUCGCACAACUAGUAGAUGCGCCAUUGUCAGAUUUAUAUAGAAAGAACUCCUAUUGGCAAGUAACAAGGUAUUAGAUAAAUGAUAAAAUUUGAAAAAAUGGAAGUUUAAAUUAUAAAAAGAGAAGUAAGGAUGCACUCUUUUUUUUAACUAAAUUGUAAAGUAAGAGCAGUUAAAGAUAUAGAUUUAAUUAUUUUAAGAUAGUAAUAGAUCAUCCUAACGUUCACGACAAUCUGCAAAGUUUGGCAGCGUUGCAGGCAGCCUUCCGUGGACGAACACCGGCAGCGUCAACAGCUGAAUUCACGCGAAAAUCAACCCGAAGUGCAUGGCCCAAACGUGUGACGUCACGAGCAAAAUUUUUUGGAGCGCUUUGUCCUUUUGUAGAGGUGUUAUUGCAUGGCGUCGCAAAAAUGUCAAGUAUUAGAUACUCCUAUACGGUGUCUCAAACUACAGACAGUCAUUUAUAUAAUAAAAUGUGUAUGUAUUCUCCACAAUUUUAUUCGAAGGCAUAUUCCAUACGCAUGGAAUGUGCAAGAGGAACAAGAUAACCUAAAUGUUGUCAUAAUUCAACAAAUGCAGCAAGAAAAUGCACUGUUUGAUAUCGAUAAUCGUUCAACAGCAUAUAAUUUAAGAGAUUAUUUAGCGAAUUACUUUUUGACCCCGCGCGCCUAACUUCCAUGGCAAUGGAAAUUUAUAACUUAAAAAUCAAAAUUUCCUAAUAUUUGAUAUUUGUUACCUAUUUUGACAAAAAUAAAACUUAUUUUCGUUAA